rnacentral:rRNA from 1 species
GACGAACGCUGGCGGCGUGCUUAACACAUGCAAGUCGAACGGAAAGGCCCUGCUUUUGUGGGGUGCUCGAGUGGCGAACGGGUGAGUAACACGUGGGUAACCUGCCCUUGACUUUGGAAUAACUUCAGGAAACUGGGGCUAAUACCGGAUAGGAGCUCCUGCUGCAUGGUGGGGGUUGGAAAGUUUGGGCGGUUGGGGAUGGACUCGCGGCUUAUCAGCUUGUUGGUGGGGUAGUGGCUUACCAAGGCUUUGACGGGUAGCCGGCCUGAGAGGGUGACCGGCCACAUUGGGACUGAGAUACGGCCCAGACUCCUACGGGAGGCAGCAGUGGGGAAUAUUGCACAAUGGGCGGAAGCCUGAUGCAGCAACGCCGCGUGCGGGAUGACGGCCUUCGGGUUGUAAACCGCUUUCGCCUGUGACGAAGCGUGAGUGACGGUAAUGGGUAAAGAAGCACCGGCUAACUACGUG